CAUUUUUUAGUAAUAAAGCAUGUUUUAAUCAAGGGAACCCUGACUAAUACAAUCAUGAAAGACAAGAAAAGACUGAAGAACUAUACUAGAUUGAAGGACACUAAAGAGAAACCACAUUCAAACACAAGAAUGACUCUAUGUGGACAACAGGACAAAUUUUUAAUAGAUGGUAAUGAUGGAACAAUAUUGAUUUCCUGAUUUUUGCACUCACAG
rnacentral:lncRNA from 1 species